UACAUGGGGUGCAAACGUUGCUCGGAAUUAUUGGGCGUAAAGCGCACGUAGGUGGUCUGUUAUGUCAGAUGUGAAAGCCCUCGGCUUAACUGAGGAAGUGCACCUGAAACUGGCAGGCUUGAGUACGAAAGAGGGUCGCGGAAUUCCCGGUGUAGAGGUGAAAUUCGUAGAUAUCUGGAGGAACACCGGUGGCGAAGGCGGCAUCCUGGACCGGUAUUGACACUGAAAAGCGAAAGCCAGGGGAGCAAACGGG
rnacentral:rRNA from 1 species